rnacentral:rRNA from 1 species
GACGAACGCUGGCGGCGUGCUUAACACAUGCAAGUCGAACGGAAAGGCCCUGCUUUUGUGGGGUGCUCGAGUGGCGAACGGGUGAGUAACACGUGAGUAACCUGCCCUUGACUUUGGGAUAACUUCAGGAAACUGGGGCUAAUACCGGAUAGGAGCUCCUGCUGCAUGGUGGGGGUUGGAAAGUUUCGGCGGUUGGGGAUGGACUCGCGGCUUAUCAGCUUGUUGGUGGGGUAGUGGCUUACCAAGGCUUUGACGGGUAGCCGGCCUGAGAGGGUGACCGGCCACAUUGGGACUGAGAUACGGCCCAGACUCCAACGGGAGGCAGCAGUGGAGAAUAUGACACAAGGGGCGGAAGCCUGAAGCAGCAACGCCGCGGGCGGGAUGACGGCCUUCGGGUUGUAAACCGCUUUCGCCUGAGACGAAGCGAGAGUGACGGUAAUAGGUAAAGAAGCACCGGCUAACUACGUG